rnacentral:rRNA from 1 species
CCUACGGGUGGCUGCAGUCGAGAAUCUUCGGCAAUGGGCGCAAGCCUGACCGAGCGACGCCGCGUGCGGGAUGAAGGCCUUCGGGUUGUAAACCGCUGUCGUAGGGGAGGAAAUACCGGUGGGUUCUCCCAUCGGCUUGACCUAUCCUAGGAGGAAGGACGGGCUAAGUUCGUGCCAGCAGCCGCGGUAAUACGAACCGUCCAAACGUUAUUCGGAAUCACUGGGCUUAAAGGGUACGUAGGCGGCGCUGUUAGUCGGGUGUGAAAGCCCUCGGCUCAACCGAGGAAUUGCGUCCGAUACUGCAGUGCUUGAGGGAGACAGAGGUAAGCGGAACUGAUGGUGGAGCGGUGAAAUGCGUUGAUAUCAUCAGGAACACCGGUGGUGAAAGCGGCUUACUGGGUCUUUUCUGACGCUGAGGUACGAAAGCUAGGGGAGCGAAG